rnacentral:rRNA from 1 species
UACGGGGGGAGCAAGCGUUGUUCGGAUUUACUGGGCGUAAAGGGCGCGUAGGCGGCCACCGCAAGUCGACUGUGAAAUCUCCGGGCUUAACCCGGAAAGGUCAGCCGAUACUGCGGGGCUAGAGUGCAGAAGGGGCAACUGGAAUUCUCGGUGUAGCGGUGAAAUGCGUAGAUAUCGAGAGGAACACCUGCGGCGAAGGCGGGUUGCUGGGCUGACACUGACUGAGGCGCGAAAGCUAGGGGAGCGAACAGG